rnacentral:tRNA from 2 species
GCCGCUGUAGCUCAGCCUGGUUAGAGCGCUACGCUCAUAACGUAGAGGUCACGGGCUCAAAUCCCGCCAGCGGCA